rnacentral:rRNA from 1 species
UACGGGGGGAGCAAGCGUUGUUCGGAUUUACUGGGCGUAAAGGGCGCGUAGGCGGUCAGCACAAGUCAGUUGUGAAAUCUCCGGGCUUAACUCGGAAAGGUCAACUGAUACUGUGCGACUAGAGUGCAGAAGGGGCAACUGGAAUUCUCGGUGUAGCGGUGAAAUGCGUAGAUAUCAAGAGGAACACCUGCGGCGAAGGCGGGUUGCUGGGCCGACACUGACGCUGAAGCGCGAAAGCCAGGGGAGCGAACAGG